rnacentral:lncRNA from 1 species
GGACACCCGCCCUCCCACACAGAUGGCUGUCAAGGUCGCCAUAAGGCAACCUAUUAUAAUACAUAUGGCUGUGGGCUAAGACAGUCGUGUCCAGACCCACCAGUGGUGAAAACGCAUGCAGACAAGAACGAGCUGUACACAGGGGAAUGGGAAUAAAAAGUACGAUUUUCUUGUCGUUUGGUGUCACCAGUUAGAUGUGGGCUCGAUAGUGAAGCUUCGCAACACCCUUGGAAACCGGAGGCGGUGGCCGGGCUGGGAAGAAACCGCAGUGUGUAGCUUUCUAACCCCUGAAUUUAGUCGGGCUCUGAAUCGGGGUGGUUUGUGACUUUAAAAGGUCCCCUCACUUUUCCCUAGGAUUUUGACUGUGUGAAUUUACCGCUUUUGUUUAAUUUUUGUUGGAUUUUAUUUGGUUUGCUUUUUGUGUAUUUGGGAGUGGUUAAUUCUGUGGUAGAGAAGCUGAGUGAUCAUUGGAAGGUUUUUUUUUUCUCCCACUUUUACAUAAUAGAAAACGUUUUGAAAUAAAAUAUCAAACCAGUC